GAUGAACGCUGGCGGCGUGCCUAAUACAUGCAAGUCGAGCGAAUGGAUUAAGAGCUUGCUCUCAUGAAGUUAGCGGCGGACGGGUGAGUAACACGUGGGUAACCUGCCCAUAAGACUGGGAUAACUCCGGGAAACCGGGGCUAAUACCGGAUAACAUUUUGAACCGCAUGGUUCGAAAUUGAAAGGCGGCUUCGGCUGUCACUUAUGGAUGGACCCGCGUCGCAUUAGCUAGUUGGUGAGGUAACGGCUCACCAAGGCAACGAUGCGUAGCCGACCGGAGGGGGUGAGCGGCCACACUGGGACUGAGCAACGGCCCAGACUCCUACGGGAGGCAGCAGUAGGGAAUCUUCCGCAAUGGACGAAAGUCUGACGGAGCAACGCCGCGUGAGUGAUGAAGGCUUUCGGGUCGUAAAACUCUGUUGUUAGGGAAGAACAAGUGCUAGUUGAAUAAGCUGGCACCUUGACGGUACCUAACCAGAAAGCCACGGCUAACUACGUGCCAGCCGCCGCCGUAA
rnacentral:rRNA from 1 species